UACGUAGGGUGCGAGCGUUGUCCGGAAUUAUUGGGCGUAAAGAGCUCGUAGGCGGUCUGUCGCGUCGAUCGUGAAAACUUGGGGCUUAACCCUGAGCUUGCGGUCGAUACGGGCAUGACUUGAGUACUGCAGGGGAGACUGGAAUUCCUGGUGUAGCGGUGGAAUGCGCAGAUAUCAGGAGGAACACCGGUGGCGAAGGCGGGUCUCUGGGCAGUAACUGACGCUGAGGAGCGAAAGCGUGGGGAGCGAACAGG
rnacentral:rRNA from 1 species